rnacentral:ribozyme from 1 species
UUUUUUUUUUUUUUUUUUUUUUUUUUUUUUUUUUUUUUUUUUCCAA